rnacentral:ribozyme from 1 species
CACGUAUACACACACAUAUUUAUACAUACAUAUACAUAUGGCAAAGUACACACAGAUGGAUGUACACACACUCUCUCGCUCGCUUUCUUUCUCUUUUUCUCGCUUUCUUUCCCUUUUUCUGGCUUUUUUUUUUCUU